CGCAUGGUGGGUUAGUGGUUAGCAUGUUCGCCUCACACCUCCAAGGUCUGGGGUUCGAUUCCCGCCAGGGCCA